GAAAUGCGAUAAGUAAUGUGAAUUGCAGAAUUCAGUGAAUCAUCGAAUCUUUGAACGCACAUUGCGCCUAUUAGUAUUCUAGUAGGCAUGCCUGUUCGAGCGUCAUUUCAACCCUCAGAACCCCUUGCGGGAUCUGGCGUUGGGGAUUGGCAUCCAGCCAGCCCCGAAAUCUAGUGGCGGUCCCUCCGCGACCUCCCCUGUGCAGUAGCGAUACCUCGCAGCGGGACAGCGGUCUGACCACGCCGUAAAACCCCCAACUUCUCAAGGUUGACCUCGAAUCAGGUAGGAAUACCAGCUGAACUUCAGC
rnacentral:misc_RNA from 1 species